UUGGUUAAGUUAGAAAGGGCGCACGGUGGAUGCCUUGGCACUAGGAGCCGAAGAAGGACGGGACUAACACCGAUAUGCUUUGGGGAGCUGUACGUAAGCGUUGAUCCAGAGAUUUCCGAAUGGGGGAACCCACUAUCUUUAGUCGGAUAGUAUCCUUACGUGAAUACAUAGCGUAAGGAAGGCAGACCCAGGGAACUGAAACAUCUAAGUACCUGGAGGAAGAGAAAGAAAAAUCGAUUUCCUGAGUAGCGGCGAGCGAAACGGAAAGAGCCCAAACCAAGAAGCUUGCUUCUUGGGGUUGUAGGACACUCUAUACGGAGUUACAAAAGAAAGUUAUAAAUGAAGCGGUCUGGAAAGGCCCGCCAAAGACGGUAACAGCCCGGUAGUUGAAAUGGCUUUCCCUCCAGAGUGGAUCCUGAGUACGGCGGAACACGUGAAAUUCCGUCGGAAUCCGGGAGGACCAUCUCCCAAGGCUAAAUACUCCCUAGUGACCGAUAGUGAACCAGUACCGUGAGGGAAAGGUGAAAAGCACCCCGGAAGGGGAGUGAAACAGUUCCUGAAACCGUGUGCCUACAAGUAGUUAGAGCCCGUUAAUGGGUGAUAGCGUGCCUUUUGUAGAAUGAACCGGCGAGUUACGAUUUGUUGCAAGGUUAAGCGGAAAAAGCGGAGCCGUAGCGAAAGCGAGUCUGAAUAGGGCGCAUAAGUAACAGGUCGUAGACCCGAAACCAGGUGAUCUACCCAUGUCCAGGAUGAAGGUAAGGUAAUACUUACUGGAGGUCCGAACCCACGCACGUUGAAAAGUGCGGGGAUGAGGUGUGGGUAGCGGAGAAAUUCCAAUCGAACUUGGAGAUAGCUGGUUCUCUCCGAAAUAGCUUUAGGGCUAGCCUCGAGGUAAAGAGUCAUGGAGGUAGAGCACUGUUUGGACUAGGGGCCCUUCUCGGGUUACCGAAUUCAGAUAAACUCCGAAUGCCAUGUACUUAUACUCGGGAGUCAGACUGCGAGUGAUAAGAUCCGUAGUCGAAAGGGAAACAGCCCAGACCACCAGUUAAGGUCCCCAAAUAUAUGUUAAGUGGAAAAGGAUGUGGGGUUGCUUAGACAACCAGGAUGUUGGCUUAGAAGCAGCCACCAUUGAAAGAGUGCGUAAUAGCUCACUGGUCGAGUGACCCCGCGCCGAAAAUGUACCGGGGCUAAACAUAUUACCGAAACUGUGGAUGAACCUCAUUAGAGGUUCGUGGUAGGAGAGCGUUCUAAGGGCGGUGAAGUCAGACCGGAAGGACUGGUGGAGCGCUUAGAAGUGAGAAUGCCGGUAUGAGUAGCGAAAGAAGGGUGAGAAUCCCUUCCACCGAAUAUCUAAGGUUUCCUGAGGAAGGCUCGUCCGCUCAGGGUUAGUCGGGACCUAAGCCGAGGCCGAUAGGCGUAGGCGAUGGACAACAGGUAGAGAUUCCUGUACCAGUGCUAAUUGUUUAACCGAUGGGGUGACACAGAAGGAUAGGGAAUCGCACGAAUGGAAAUGUGCGUCCAAGCAGUGAGUGUGAGAAGUAGGCAAAUCCGCUUCUCGCGAAGCAUGAGCUGUGAUGGGGAAGGAAAUUAAGUACGGAAGUUCCUGAUUUCACGCUGUCAAGAAAAGCCUCUAGGAAGAGUAGUACUGCCCGUACCGCAAACCGACACAGGUAGAUGAGGAGAGAAUCCUAAGGUGAGCGAGAGAACUCUCGUUAAGGAACUCGGCAAAAUGACCCCGUAACUUCGGGAGAAGGGGUGCUCUAUUAGGGUGCAAGCCCG
rnacentral:rRNA from 1 species